GGUUAUGGCUCAGUGGUAGAGCAUUCGCCUAGCAUGUGUGAGGCCCUGGGUUCAAACCUCAGCACCA
rnacentral:tRNA from 1 species